AUUGAACGCUGGCGGCAGGCCUAACACAUGCAAGUCGAACGGUAACAGGAAGAGCCUUGCUUCUUUGCUGUCGCGGCGCGGGCGGGUGUGUCAUGUCUGGAAAACUGCUUGAUGGCUGGGGUUACCUCCUGGAAACGGUAGCUAUAACCGCAUAUCGUCGCAAGACCAUAGAGCGAGAGCUACAGGCCGCUUGCCAUCGGCUGUGCCCUGAUGGGAUUAGCUAGUAGGUAGGGUAACGGCUCACCAAGGCGACGAUCCAUAGCUGGUCUGAGAGGAUGACCAGCCACACUGGAACUGAGACACGGUCCAGACUCCUACGGGAGGCAGCAGUGGGGAAUAUUGCGCAAUGGGCGAAAGCCUGAUGGAGCAAUGCCGCGUGUGUGAAGAAGGCCUUCGGAUUGUAAAGCACUUUCAGCGGGGAGGAAGGGAGGAAAGUGAAUACGUGUGCUUAUUGACGUUACCCAAAGAAGAAGCACCGGCUAACUACGUG
rnacentral:rRNA from 1 species